CAUUUCAUGGAAUUAGGCUUUUGGGCUAGAACAUCAAAAUUAGCAUACAUUUAGUACCCAAUACACCAAAAUUUAACAUGCCUAGUUUGCAAUAUCAUUAUUAACGCUCAGAUAUACAAAGAAGAAACAAUUAAGCUUUGAAAGAUAAUAGAGAAGGUACCCUUCCUCUUGAGAAGAGGGACAGUCCCAAGAUUCUGCUGUCUCUUUACUAACUUCCGG
rnacentral:lncRNA from 1 species